AUUGGACGCUGGCGGCAGGCCUAACACAUGCAAGUCGAGCGGAUGAAGGGAGCUUGCACCUGGAUUCAGCGGCGGACGGGUGAGUAAUGCCUAGGAAUCUGCCUGGUAGUGGGGGAUAACGUCCGGAAACGGGCGCUAAUACCGCAUACGUCCUGAGGGAGAAAGUGGGGGAUCUUCGGACCUCACGCUAUCAGAUGAGCCUAGGUCGGAUUAGCUAGUUGGUGGGGUAAAGGCCUACCAAGGCGACGAUCCGUAACUGGUCUGAGAGGAUGAUCAGUCACACUGGAACUGAGACACGGUCCAGACUCCUACGGGAGGCAGCAGUGGGGAAUAUUGGACAAUGGGCGAAAGCCUGAUCCAGCCAUGCCGCGUGUGUGAAGAAGGUCUUCGGAUUGUAAAGCACUUUAAGUUGGGAGGAAGGGCAGUAAGUUAAUACCUUGCUGUUUUGACGUUACCAACAGAAUAAGCACCGGCUAACUUCGUG
rnacentral:rRNA from 1 species